UACGGAGGGUGCGAGCGUUGUCCGGAAUCACUGGGCGUAAAGGGCGCGUAGGCGGCUCAUGAAGGCUGUGGUGAAAGUCCGGGGCUCAACCUCGGAUCGGCCGUGGCGACUCGUGGGCUGGAGCACUGUAGAGGCGGGUGGAAUUCCGGGUGUAGCGGUGGAAUGCGUAGAUAUCGGGAGGAACACCAGUGGCGAAGGCGACUCUCUGGCCUGUAACUGACACUGAGGCGCGAAAGCGUGGGGAGCGGACAGG
rnacentral:rRNA from 1 species